rnacentral:misc_RNA from 1 species
CAUUGGCACUAGGAGCAUCUGGAAUAUUUGUAAGUAUAUAGUUACUGUAAUUACCAUUAUAGCACAUCUCUGGAGCAAUGACUGGAGAAUCCUGUAUACAAAAAAUAGAUAAGGGACAACUAAUAAUCCUAUCUUAUAAAUUUUUAUUUUUAUCCUUGGGAAUUAUUGGAUAAAAAUAAUAUGAAACUCUGCCAGAACACUUGGGUGAAAUAUGUUAAAUUAGUUAUCACUAAUUUCCUCCGGAUAACUUUCCUUCAAAAAAAGAAAAAAAAAAAAAGAAAAACCUCCAGGU